rnacentral:misc_RNA from 1 species
CAGCACAGCUUUCAGAAGGAAAUGUAAUGAAAAUGAACUGCACCAAUAAACAGGAUUUUAUAAAUGCACAGUGUUUAAGUGAAAGUGCAUUGGGCAUGAUCAGAAGUUUUGCAUUACCCAGCUUUGAACACACUUUAGGAAACUUACUUGAGGACUUCACUAUUUGUGAUGCAGGAUAUUUAUAAAAUCACAACAAGAACACGCUGCAGAAAAUGAGGAGAUUGAUGAAAUCUGUUAUAUUUCACAUGGAAUAGGAAUCAAUUCAAAAGAUCUGUGCUGAAUGAACAAAUGCAAUUGAUAUGUGUUAUACUCUCUCUAUAUAAAGCACCCCUUAGGUUAAUAGGGAGAUGCUUUUACUGUAUGGAUUGUUCAUGUUUGUUAACAUUCUGGUGUUGAUCUGUACUUAUAUAUUAUAUACAUAUAAGUGUCAAAUUUUUAAAUGGUGUGUUUUCUCAACAACAACAAAAAAAAAAUUAUUCCCCAAUGUUCUUGUAUCUAAUAUACUAGUCCCAUUAAAUUAUUAUUUUCCCCUUAUUCCACAUGAAUGUAGCUUUUGUGUCUGAUACUAUUGACAUUUUUGGUCAUAAGCUUUGACUGUAGUGCUCUAAAAGAAGUGUGAGAGAAAUCCAAUUUUUUUCCAGUUCUGUAAUGGUAAAGUGGUUUGCCAUGUGGUGGCCACACCUUAAAUAAACAUGGAUGACUUAGCUGUAAAAAGAUCAUUCACUUCCAAUUGGCUGAUAAUUUCAGAACUACUUGGACUUUAAUGUGUUAAUGACUGAUAUGUGCUACAAAUGAUAAUAUUGCAUGCAUUGAUUUAAAAAACAAAAUCAUUAUUUUGACUGUCAAGAAAUAUGCAAUAGAAGAAAAGAAAUCUUUGUGAAAUUAAUGUUAAAGAUCAUGAUACAAAUUUGAAUUUUAAACAUUUUUGAUUGAGAGGGUAAUGUAAUUUUUUUUAUAAGGUUUGCAUAUAGCAUGUGUUGUAAAAUUCUAUUUUGAACUAACUAAACAUCAGCAGUCACAGUUGCUUCUAGUCAAUAAACUUGUUAUAUCGUGUAUAAUAACAACCGGUACAUCUGUGUUGUGUGGUUGGUAACUAUAAAUGCAGCUGGUCAAGUUGGAUCCAUAAAAUUGUAAGAAUGAAAAACAAGACCCUCCUAAGAAAGAACUUGCAGCUGAAAAAAAAAAAUGUUAGAAAUAGCUUUGUGUCAGUCAUGUAAUUUCAUGGCAGGCUCUCUUAUUGUACAUAACUUCCAGAAUUGGAAAGAAAUAUGAGUACUGUAUGUCUUGAGAGUUUCAUUCUGGUUUGUUGUUGAUGUUUUGAAAUCCCCUCCCCCCUUUUCCCUUCUUACAUUUUUCCCCCAUGUAAAUGCUAUGUUAAAGCAAUGAACAGAAGUGUAUUUUGCCGAUAUUUUUUCAUUAUUAUGAAUGUCAUUCCGAUUUUCAAUAUACUAAUGAUGAAACCUUAUUCAGGGCUCAUAGUAGAGGCUGUCUUAGCUCACAGUGCAAUUUGUGUUCUUGUGAUGAGUGACCUUGUUGCAUCUUACUAAUGUAACUUGUUAUUAAUAUAUUGUAGACUUGUUCUUAGCCUUUUUGGCGCUAAACUUCAGUUGUUAUUCCUCCGUUAUAUCACCUUGAACAGUGGAUAUUUCCCCCCUAUUUGAUGUGCAUUACUUCUUUUAAGACUAUUGUAGUUUCUGGUUCUCAACGUGUUUAAAUUUAGAAGAAAACAGCAAAUUUCUGAAGUGUGCUAUAUACUGGGUACUUUAAAAGUGAAAAUUAAAAGAGAGCCAGCUAUUUGAAAAUAAGAUAUAAUUAGGAAAAUUAGCAUCCUUAAUAAGAUGGGUAUUCUUUGAAUUAAGGAAUGCAUCAAGGUUGUUAAAGUAAUUUACUAGAAUAUUGACAGAGUGAAAGGAUUUUUUUUUUCAUUAUUUAUUUUUUUAGUAUUGUCAUAUUCCCGGUAUAUGCACAGAAAGAAAGAGAAUGAUAGUAUGUUGUAUAUCUGCAGUUUGUUGUAACUAAAUUUUCAUGUUAUCAAAUUUUAAAUUCUUAAUUAGGGAAUGUGUUUUCCAUUCAAACUUACAUUUAUUAGUGUACUUUCUGGAUAUUGCAGUUGUGCAGCAGAUUGCUCACAACAAGAAAAUGGUUCUAUGCCAUUUAACAGUAAUACCUUUGAUGUUGAAUCCUUAAUUGUGUUUUACAAUUCUCUGCAAUUUAAACAGUUUUGACAACUUUUAGGUGUUGUCUUUAGAUGUCUGGAAACUGGUGUUGUUCUUCAAACCAUUUUCUCUACCAACAACAUUUUUAUACUUAAUAAAUAAUUACUAC